AAAACAUCGCCUCUUGCCCAUAUUAUAAGAGGUCCAGCCUGCCCAGUGACACUGUUCAACGGCCGCGGUAUAUUAACCGUGCGAAGGUAGCGCAAUCACUUGUCCUUUAAAUAAGGACUAGUAUGAACGGCACCACGAAGGUUUAACUGUCUCCCCUUUCCAAUCAGUGAAACUAAUCUCCCCGUGAAAAAGCGGGAAUAGUAACAUAAGACGAGAAGACCCUAUGGAGCUUUAAAUAUUAACAACAACUGCCAUGCACCUAUGAUUGUUAAUUUUAGGUUGGGGCGACCACGGAGUAAAACCCAACCUCCGUGCUGAAUUAUAGCAAAACCCACAACUUUAAGCAUCACUAAAUUGACAUUCAUUGACCCAAUAACUGAUCAACGAACCAAGUUACCCUAGGGAUAACAGCGCCAUCCACUUCAAGAGCCCAUAUCGACAAGUGGGCUUACGACCUCGAUGUUGGAUCAAGGUACCCCAGUGGCGCAGCCGCUACUAAAGGUUCGUUUGUUCAACGAUUAACACCCUA
rnacentral:rRNA from 1 species